GUAUGUUGAUUUCAACGUUUACGCUGUUUUCGUUUGUAAUUGAGAAUUUCAUUACCAACGGGAUCUAGGUUUGUCGAAUGGGGGUAGUAUGGGAAAUAUGUCACGUUUAAUUUCCGAAGUCUCGAACAUGAUUGUCUUCAAUUCUUGUGUGGAAUCAACAGAAAAAAUGUCACAUUUUUUUGUUUAUGUCGAAGUUUUUUUAUGGGACAGGGAACAUGACAGCCAAUGGCAUUGAAAAUGGAAAACAAACCACACGUUAUAAGUUUCGAGGUGUUUUUGUUGAGGGUAAUCAGACUAGUCUGUUUUCCUUAAGAUCUGAUCAUUGAAACUUUUUCGAUUAAUUUUUCAGAAUACAUUCUGCUUUCGAAAAUUAUUGGUCGGUGAUGAUAGUUGCAUACUGCAGGAUUUAUUCUACUUUCAGAAUACAUUCUGCUUUCGAAAAUUAUUGGUCGGUGAUGAUCGUUGCAUACUGCAGGAUUUAUUUUGCUAUUAAUGGACAUUACUUGUACUUGUUGACUGUAUGCGAGUGCUGUUUUGUUUUAUAUUUGGUAGUUGAUAUCUGAGCGAUUUAUUCUGGCCGUAUUGGAGAUGGUUGGGUUGCUUGAUAUUUUUGUUUUCAAAGAAUAUGCGAAAUAAGAGCUGAGGAGCCUGUUUGUUGAACUGGAGGUGGUUGGCUUACUUGAUCUUUUGUUUUGAACUUUUGAAAUUAAGGCAGAAAGUUACCGUCAGCAUCGACGCAUUUCAUCGUUUGGAUGAUAAAAUAAGUUCUAUUUGAUACGAUUUCUCAAUUUUCUUGCACUUUGAUGUUAAUUGAAUGUGUGAAAAGAAAACAUACUUUUAUCUUUGGUUGUCUCUUAGUCCUCUUGUGGAAAGGAUUUCACAUCUCAAACAGUGCGCCGAAGUUGAAUUUUUCAUAAGGCAAAACUGAAUAAUGGGCUA